CGCCGAGACCAGUUGAGGUGGACCAGUGAAACAUACCUGUCUAUGCUGAGCACGCUGUUGACUGGGUGUGUCCUCAGAAGCCCUGGAACACAGUGUUAACAUCCAUCUAGAUCAACUAAUGUGGACGGAGACAUGUCCCACAGAUGAGGUUGAAACAGCCCACGCAGUAUGAUUCAUAACAUUUGUUCUAUUACACCAUGACAUCUGUGGGAGCCCUAUUGUUAGGUGGCACCGCUAUUGGAAAUGGAAGCGCGUGGCAGCGCGGUCAUUUGCAGAGACCACACCGGUGUGUCCGUCAGCGUGGCCAACACAACAAACAGAGCUGGCCACCUCUGUGAAGUGGAGUUCAAGAAAAUUUGAGUGCAGCGCUGCCACGCAUGGGUGGCAACAGCAGGAACGACAUCAGGUUUAUUAGUGGAGACACUGACAAAUUGGGAAAUUGGCAUGUAAUGAGCGAUUACUGUUAUGAGGUUAUUUAUUUCACAAAUCAUAUUGUACAGAAAAUCAAUGUCUGUAAGCUGUGACACAAAAAUGGACAGUCUCAAAGUAGGCUUUCCGGGGAGCUGAGCAUUCCUCCGUCUGUGUCAAGACAUGGACCUGCUGAAGUUCAUACCAAACAACACAAUGUGGAAGAGUGUGAUUUAAGUGACUUGAUGUGACAUGGUUGGUGCAAGAUGGGGUGGUCUUUCAGAAACUGAUCGUCUACUGGCAUUUUUGAGUGUUUACAGAGAAUGGUCCAAAAAAGAGAGAAAACAAUCCAGGGAGCAUCAUUUCUGAAAAUGCCUUGUUGAUACCAUCAGAUUGGUUUCAAAUGAAAGUAAGGCAGUAACUCACAUCUUAAUUGAAGUCAAACUGGAAGUCCAUAGAGAAAAUUCACAUCACAGCACACAGUUGUUGGUCCAAUGCU